GAGGUCUUAUUGUAAAGUGAUACCUAUGGGUCUUUAAAGUUCUUUUGCACUUUAAUCGGUGUAAAUUUUUUAACUUUAAAUAUAUUUUUUGUAUUGGUUUAUUGUAUUUAAAUGUUCAGUUAUUUUUGUUAUAAGAAAAAAGUUAACCUGUUAUACUGUAUUAUGACCACUUUUUUAAACUAAAUUUCAAUACCGUGAUAAUACCGUGACAAAACAUUAUCAAUUAAUCGCAACAGGAAAAUUUGAUACCGGCAUAUCCCUACAUACAGGUAUAUUAUAAUUAGACUAAGAUUUCAAUCUAAUAGCUCGAAAGAAUUCGCUUUACCUUGACGUAAAGUAGCCAUGGUUUUAUUAUAGUAAAAGUGUAGUAACAUGUUUUUUUAGUGUAAUGAUUACCAUGUGUAUAUAUAGAUGCAAUAUGGCUAACUAACAUUUUAAACGUGCACACAAGACUCUCGAAAUGCAUGUUCUCUUCCGUAUAUAACUUAAUUCGUGUAACAUUUGAAUAAAACUGUUAAAAUAUAAUAUAUCAGACGCUGCUUACCUCCUUUUGCCAUCAAUCAACCGUUAUAUACCACUUCCUCUGAACCGCGUGCGUGUGACGUCACCUGGGGCAGGGCAACGCGAUACUCCACCUGAGUCCGUUUCGUCUGAUGCCUUUUUGUCUGAGUCCGUUUCGUCUGAUGCCUUUUUGUCUGAGUCCGUUUCGUCUGAUGCCUAAUUGUAUGAGACCUGACGUCCUUUUUCCUGAGACCUGAAGCUUUUCAGUCUGAGGCGCGAUGCCGUUUUGUCCAAUGACUGAAGCCUUUUAGUCUGAGGCAUGACGCCUUUUUAUUUGAUGACUGAGGUCUGAGGAUGUCCUAAAAUGUACACCGUAUUACUGACAAGCUCAUUUUAAUACUUAUAAUUGGUUAAAUAUUUGUAAAACCCUCUGAUUUAAAAUAAUAAUGAAUUAGAAUUGAGAUAUGAAGUUUGGAUAGUUUUUCACGGCACACCUGACUGGGUCACGGUACGGCAAUUGCCAUACUCUGCCAUAUGGAAACGCCACCCUGGAGGAGGGGGAGCCGCCAAAAUGAGGUGCCGGAUCAGAUUUUGGAGGUGCUGGAUCCGGAUCCUGCUUGUUCUGGCACAAAUUAAUC
ensembl:lncRNA